AGUAAGCAUGCAUCAAGUUGAAGAAAGUAAACAAAAGAAAACGAGAAAGAGGAGAAUGAGAAAAACACAAAUCAAGCUGCUUG
rnacentral:ribozyme from 11 species